CGGACGGGUGAGUAACGCGUGGAAAACCUGCCGUAUACUGGGGGAUAACACUUAGAAAUAGGUGCUAAUACCGCAUAAGCGCACAGCUUCGCAUGAAGCGGUGUGAAAAACUCUAGGUGGUAUACGAUGGUUCCGCGUCUGAUUAGCUAGUUGGUGGGGUAAUGGCCUACCAAGGCAACGAUCAGUAGCCGGCCUGAGAGGGUGAACGGCCACAUUGGGACUGAGACACGGCCCAAACUCCUACGGGAGGCAGCAG
rnacentral:rRNA from 1 species